GCCGGGGUGGCGGAACGGUAGACGCGCAGGAUUUAGGAUCCUGUGUCGGCAACGACGUGGGGGUUCGAGUCCCUUCCUCGGCA
rnacentral:tRNA from 1 species